GAUGAACGCUGGCGGCGUGCCUAAUACAUGCAAGUCGAGCGAACAGACGAGGAGCUUGCUCCUCUGACGUUAGCGGCGGACGGGUGAGUAACACGUGGAUAACCUACCUAUAAGACUGGGAUAACUUCGGGAAACCGGAGCUAAUACCGGAUAAUAUAUUGAACCGCAUGGUUCAAUAGUGAAAGACGGUUUUGCUGUCACUUAUAGAUGGAUCCGCGCCGCAUUAGCUAGUUGGUAAGGUAACGGCUUACCAAGGCAACGAUGCGUAGCCGACCUGAGAGGGUGAUCGGCCACACUGGAACUGAGACACGGUCCAGACCCCUACGGGAGGCAGCAGUAGGGAAUCUUCCGCAAUGGGCGAAAGCCUGACGGAGCAACGCCGCGGGAGUGAUGAAGGUCUUCGGAUCGUAAAACUCUGUUAUUAGGGAAGAACAAAUGUGUAAGUACCUAUGCACGUCUUGACGGUACCUAAUCAGAAAGCCACGGCUAACUACGU
rnacentral:rRNA from 1 species